GACGAACGCUGGCGGCGUGCUUAACACAUGCAAGUCGAACGGAAAGGCCCCUUUGGGGGUACUCGAGUGGCGAACGGGUGAGUAACACGUGAGUAACCUGCCCUUGACUUCGGGAUAACUUCAGGAAACUGGGGCUAAUACCGGAUAGGAAUCCUUGCUGCAUGGUGGGGGUUGGAAAGCUUCGGCGGUUUUGGAUGGACUCGCGGCUUAUCAGCUUGUUGGUGGGGUAGUGGCUUACCAAGGCUUUGACGGGUAGCCGGCCUGGGAGGGCGACCGGCCACAUUGGGACUGAGAUACGGCCCAGACUCCUACGGGAGGCAGCAGUGGGGAAUAUUGCACAAUGGGCGGGAGCCUGAUGCAGCAACGCCGCGUGCGGGAUGACGGGCUUCGGGUUGUAAACCGCUUUCAGCAGGGGAGAAGCUUGUGGUGACGGUACCUGCAGAAGAAGCACCGGCUAACUACGUG
rnacentral:rRNA from 1 species